CUCUAAUGCCACUUCCGUGGGUGCUAGGUUAGAGGCUGGGGGCGGUGCUGACCUUGAGAGUGCGCGGGGGGGAGGCGCAGGCGCAGCACAGGCUGCCCCUUCCUGGAGACUUUCCGGAUCUCCACAGACCUGUUUGUCCCUCCGUCAUCUCUUCUACCUGCUUUAGUGCGUCCUGCAGCGCUCCUCUUCCGCGGGGCAGUGGAAUUUGAUCCUCAGAUGUUUCUUCACUAUUCAUAUAUACCAGUUGAAGCCAGAAGAACAUCUACCAAGAGCAGAGAAACCAGGAGGAGAAUUCUGCCUAUUUAAUACAUUCCAAUGUGGACGGUUUCCUUUUAUUUUAAAAAAUAUAUAUCAUCAGCUGGGGAAAAAGUGAAACUCCCGUGUACCUCUUAAUUUGUGGUUUUUUUUUUUCCAAAAUCUGUACCCAGCAACUCUGUGCUUUUUUUUUUAUUUGGCUGUAAGCCACGGUACUGGAGGCAGGCUUGAAGUGGAUAUACAGAGCACCUUUAACCCAGAAAUUAAUCUCACAACUUGGGAUCCUUGUUUAAGACGUGACUGUAUCUACAAUUUCACUUACAGGAUCUCUUUUUGCCAGUAUCUAGUUUUGUUAUAAAGCUGGUCUUGGGAGGUAAACUAGGAAAAAUUUAAGAAGGUUGGGCAGGCAGGAGUGGCUAUACAUGUACCUGGAGAGCAUGAUACCCAAGCUAUAAAUGGUCGAAAGACCAUGGGAACCACUUCUGAGCCACCCCAAAGAAGCAUGCUUUAUAUGAAAAAGGGGCCUAGAGACACUAGAGACAGAGUGUAUGAGUUGUUUUCACUUUAAAUUUUCUUUUUUUGGUGGGGGUGGAAGGGGGAUGAAUAAUGUGAUAAAGAUACAGGAAUUGUAAGCACCAACAUUGGAAGUAGCUGGAGGUGGGGUGGGGCUGAGAAAUAGUUUGUGAAACAGACCGGCUGCUAACGGAUCCAGAACUUCCCUGAGGGUUCCACCUCUGCUCUAUAGGGACAAGGUUGUAAAUAGACAAGCCCCAGGGCAUCUGCAGAUGAUAAGUGUGGUAGAGAAGGAUUGGAGUCGUUCUGCUUGUGUAUCUGUGGGAAGCAGCUGCUAUCCUUGAGGAAGAAAAGGUGGAGAAGGAAACUGGCUAUCAGUCUGUCAGUAACAACACAUCCUGUGAAGUCUUACUCUUUCAUUUCUGACACUUUGGUUCUUACAUCCGUCCUAAACCUGGCAGCCUCAUUGAGGUUCACAGAGCAUCUCCUCCUAUGUGACAGUAAGACUGGAAUUAUUAUCAGGAUGGAAUCUAUUCCUGCCAGAGUAAAACCACGAGAGGAAAUCACAGUCAGUAUUCGUUAUCUGCUUAUCAUUUUUAAUAGAUCAUGGAGUUCUAUGUUCCUUAUUUGGUAUUUGACAAUUUGAUAAAUAACCCUUGAUUAAUAUCCUUUAAUAUUCUAAUUUCUUUUACAGUGUGAAAAAUCUGUUAUACGUAAUGUUUUCUAAAGAUUAAAAUGCAUACCAUAUAUGUUUAAAGGCAGCAUCUCCCUGUCUUUUUUAUCCCACAAAUACUUACAGUGUUUUGUAUUGGUUACAUGUGUUGAAGUAGAGGGAUUUACCUAUUUCCAUUCUUUAAAAUAGAUGAGAGUCUUUGACAGAUAAAAAGAAAGGGGAAAAUUAUGAAAGGAAAUAAAAGACGUGGAUAAGGGAGAUUAGGAAGAAAUUCAGUACUCUUGGCAAGGGAAUUAGUCUAAUCUUUGAUCCAAGUCUUGGUUGCUUAUUGUUAAGGCUUAUUUGUUUGUUUGUUUUAUUAAAAGUUGCAAUGUCCUGAGUGAGAACUGUUCUCAAAUAACUUAAGAACAGCAGAAAAGUUACUUCCUCCUUCAACACCCACAAUGACCUGGAACAUUUUCAACCAUUAAGACCUACCACUGUUUCAAAGACCAGCUCCAUAUUGUUCACAAAAUGUUUUUCUGAUUAGCUCCUCUUCUGAGAAAUUAAAAUUGCUUUUUCUUUGCUUUAAUAAAUAGGAUUAUUAUGUCCUUUA